UAAGAGUCCCCAAAUGACGUUCUCGUUGUUCUUGUUGUUCCUACCGUUCUUCCUGUUCUUGCCGUCCCUAGCAUUCUUUCUGUUCUUGUUGUUCCUACCGUUCUUCCUGUUUUUGCCGUCCCUAGCGCUCUUCCUGUUCUUGCCGUCCCUACUGUUCUCGCUAUUCUUGUUGUUCUUAGCGUUCUCGCUGUUCUUGUUCUUCCUACCGUUCUCCCUGUUCUUGUUGUUCCUACCGUUCUUCAUGUUCUUGUUGUUCCUGUUCGUCCUGUUCUUGUUGUUCCUACCGUUCUUCAUGUUCCUGUUCUUCCUGUUCUUGUUGUUCCUACCGUUCCAACAAUUACUUUAAUAUACAGAGCUUGUACUUGCGCAUGCGCAUAACGUGGAAAACCGUACAUGACCACUGUCCAUGACAUACACGAAAUGGAGGACAACAAUGCACUCACUGUUUGCACUCCGCUAUGUUUUCACAUACCCGGGUAUAAUUGAC